ACUAGUCGAGUGACACUGCGCCGAAAAUGUACCGGGGCUAAACAUAUUACCGAAGCUGUGGAUUGUCCUUUGGACAAUGGUAGGAGAGCGUUCUAAGGGCGUUGAAGCAUGAUCGUAAGGACAUGUGGAGCGCUUAGAAGUGAGAAUGCCGGUGUGAGUAGCGAAAGACGGGUGAGAAUCCCGUCCACCGAUUGACUAAGGUUUCCAGAGGAAGGCUCGUCCGCUCUGGGUUAGUCGGGUCCUAAGCUGAGGCCGACAGGCGUAGGCGAUGGAUAACAGGUUGAUAUUCCUGUACCACCUAUAAUCGUUUUAAUCGAUGGGGGGACGCAGUAGGAUAGGCGAAGCGUGCGAUUGGAUUGCACGUCUAAGCAGUAAGGCUGAGUAUUAGGCAAAUCCGGUACUCGUUAAGGCUGAGCUGUGAUGGGGAGAAGACAUUGUGUCUUCGAGUCGUUGAUUUCACACUGCCGAGAAAAGCCUCUAGAUAGAAAAUAGGUGCCCGUACCGCAAACCGACACAGGUAGUCAAGAUGAGAAUUCUAAGGUGAGCGAGCGAACUCUCGUUAAGGAACUCGGCAAAAUGACCCCGUAACUUCGGGAGAAGGGGUGCUCUUUAGGGUUAACGCCCAGAAGAGCCGCAGUGAAUAGGCCCAAGCGACUGUUUAUCAAAAACACAGGUCUCUGCUAAACCGUAAGGUGAUGUAUAGGGGCUGACGCCUGCCCGGUGCUGGAAGGUUAAGAGGAGUGGUUAGCUUCUGCGAAGCUACGAAUCGAAGCCCCAGUAAACGGCGGCCGUAACUAUAACGGUCCUAAGGUAGCGAAAUUCCUUGUCGGGUAAGUUCCGACCCGCACGAAAGGCGUAACGAUUUGGGCACUGUCUCAACGAGAGACUCGGUGAAAUCAUAGUACCUGUGAAGAUGCAGGUUACCCGCGACAGGACGGAAAGACCCCGUGGAGCUUUACUGUAGCCUGAUAUUGAAAUUCGGCACAGCUUGUACAGGAUAGGUAGGAGCCUUUGAAACGUGAGCGCUAGCUUACGUGGAGGCGCUGGUGGGAUACUACCCUAGCUGUGUUGGCUUUCUAACCCGCACCACUUAUCGUGGUGGGAGACAGUGUCAGGCGGGCAGUUUGACUGGGGCGGUCGCCUCCUAAAAGGUAACGGAGGCGCUCAAAGGUUCCCUCAGAAUGGUUGGAAAUCAUUCAUAGAGUGUAAAGGCAUAAGGGAGCUUGACUGCGAGACCUACAAGUCGAGCAGGGUCGAAAGACGGACUUAGUGAUCCGGUGGUUCCGCAUGGAAGGGCCAUCGCUCAACGGAUAAAAGCUACCCCGGGGAUAACAGGCUUAUCUCCCCCAAGAGUUCACAUCGACGGGGAGGUUUGGCACCUCGAUGUCGGCUCAUCGCAUCCUGGGGCUGUAGUCGGUCCCAAGGGUUGGGCUGUUCGCCCAUUAAAGCGGUACGCGAGCUGGGUUCAGAACGUCGUGAGACAGUUCGGUCCCUAUCCGUCGUGGGCGUAGGAAAUUUGAGAGGAGCUGUCCUUAGUACGAGAGGACCGGGAUGGACAUACCUCUGGUGUACCAGUUGUCGUGCCAACGGCAUAGCUGGGUAGCUAUGUGUGGACGGGAUAAGUGCUGAAAGCAUCUAAGCAUGAAGCCCCCCUCAAGAUGAGAUUUCCCAACUUCGGUUAUAAGAUCCCUCAAAGAUGAUGAGGUUAAUAGGUUCGAGGUGGAAGCAUGGUGACAUGUGGAGCUGACGAAUACUAAUCGAUCGAAGACUUAAUCAAAA
rnacentral:rRNA from 1 species